rnacentral:tRNA from 1 species
GCGGGUGUAGUUCAAUGGCAGAAUGAAAGCUUCCCAAGCUUUAGAUACGGGUUCGAUUCCCGCCACCCGCUCCA